rnacentral:rRNA from 1 species
UACAGAGGGGGCAAGCGUUGUUCGGAAUUACUGGGCGUAAAGGGCGCGUAGGCGGCCCACUAAGUCGAACGUGAAAUCCCUGGGCUCAACCCAGGAACUGCGUCCGAUACUGGUGGGCUUGAAUGCAAAAGAGGGUCGCGGAAUUCCCGGUGUAGAGGUGAAAUUCGUAGAUAUCGAGAAGAACACCGGUGGCGAAGGCGGCCAUCUGGACAGAUACUGACGCUGAGACGCGAAAGCGUGGGGAGCAAACAGG